rnacentral:lncRNA from 1 species
GUGAGGGAACACUCACAGCAGGUGAUAUGAGAACACUCAGAGAAGGUGAGGGAACACUCGGAGCAGGGGAUAUGAGAACACUCAGAGAAGGUGAUAUGAGAACAAUCAGAGAAGGUGAGGGAACACACAGAGCUGGUGAGGGAACACUCGGAGCAGGGGAUAUGAGAACACUCAGAGAAGGUGAGGGAACACUCGGAGCAGGGGAUAUGAGAACACUCAGAGAAGGUGAGGGAACACUCGGAGCAGGGGAUAUGAGAACACUCAGAGAAGGUGAUAUGAGAACACUCAGAGAAGAUGAUUUGAGAACACUAAGAGCAGGUGAUAUGAGAACACUCAGAGAAGAUGAUUUGAGAACACUCAGAGAAGGUGACAUGAGCACACCCAGAGCAGGGGAGGGAACACUCAGAGAAGGUGAGGGAACACUCAGCUAAGGUUAUAUGAGAACACCCUGAGCAGGAGAUAUGAGAACACUCAGAGAAGGUGAUAUGAGAACACUCAGAGAAGGUGAUAUGAGAACACUCAGAGCAGGUGAGGGUACACUCAGAGCAGGUGAGGGUACACUCAGAGCAGGUGAUAUGAGAACACUGAGAGCAGGUGAGGGAACACUCAGAGCAGGUGAUAUGAGAACACUCAGAGCAGGUGAGGGAACAUUCGGAGCAGGUGAGGGUACACUCAUAGCAGGUGCUAUGAGAACACUCAGAGAAGGUGAGGGAACACUCGGAGCAGGGGAUAUGAGAACACUCAGAGAAGGUGAUAUGAGAACACUCAGAGAAGGUGGGGGAACACUCAGAGAUGGUGAUAUGAGAACACUCAGAGAAGGUGAUAUGAGAACACUCAGAGAAGGGGAUAUGAGAACACUCAGAGCAGGUGAGGGAACACUCAGAGAAGGUGAUAUGAGAACACUCAGAGCAGGUGAGGAAACACUCAGAGCACUCCCGGUCAAGGUAGGUGAGGGUGUUCCCUGCAGUGUAGACAACACCUAUGCAGGCCUGCAGAUCAGCCUCCCCACCAUAAGGUCACUGAAAUGGUCAAAAUGAAUUAAUGAAUAUAUGGGUCUUACUUGAAGAAUGUUUUAAAACCAUAAUAUCAGUAAACGUUAUACAUGAG